ACUCCUACGGGAGGCAGCAGUGGGGAAUAUUGCGCAAUGGGCGAAAGCCUGACGCAGCGACGCCGUGUGAGUGAUGAAGGCCCUCGGGUCGUAAAGCUCUGUCAGGGGGACGGAAACCAUCCACGAGUUAAUAUCUCGUGGACUUGACGGUACCUCCAAAGGAAGCACCGGCUAACUCCGUGCCAGCAGCCGCGGUAAUACGGAGGGUGCGAGCGUUGUUCGGAAUUACUGGGCGUAAAGCGCGUGUAGGCGGCUUUUUUAAGUCUGGUGUGAAAUCCCGGGGCUCACCCC
rnacentral:rRNA from 1 species